UACGGAGGGUGCGAGCGUUGUCCGGAAUCAUUGGGCGUAAAGGGCGCGUAGGUGGCGGGACAAGCGUGCGGUGAAAGCUCGGGGCUCAACCCCGAGUCGGCCGUGCGAACUGUUUUGCUGGAGCACUGUAGAGGCAGGCGGAAUUCCGGGGUGUAGCGGUGGAAUGCGUAGAGAUCCGGAAGAACACCGGUGGCGAAGGCGGCCUGCUGGGGCAGUUGCUGACACUGAGGCGCGACAGCGUGGGGAGCAAACAGGG
rnacentral:rRNA from 1 species